AUUGAACGCUGGCGGCAUGCCUUACACAUGCAAGUCGAACGGUAACAGGUCUUCGGAUGCUGACGAGUGGCGAACGGGUGAGUAAUACAUCGGAACGUGCCUAGUAGUGGGGGAUAACUACUCGAAAGAGUGGCUAAUACCGCAUGAGAUCUACGGAUGAAAGCAGGGGAUCGCAAGACCUUGUGCUACUAGAGCGGCCGAUGGCAGAUUAGGUAGUUGGUGGGAUAAAAGCUUACCAAGCCGACGAUCUGUAGCGGGUCUGAGAGGACGAUCGGCCACACUGGGACUGAGACACGGCCCAGACGCUUACGGGAGGCAGCAGUGGGGAAUUUUGGACAAUGGGCGAAAGCCUGAUCCAGCAAUGCCGCGUGCAGGAUGAAGGCCUUCGGGUUGUAAACUGCUUUUGUACGGAACGAAAAGCCCCGGGUUAAUACCCUGGGGUCAUGACGGUACCGUAAGAAUAAGCACCGGCUAACUACGUGCCAGCCGCCGCGGUAA
rnacentral:rRNA from 1 species